UGGAGCCAGCUCGUAUGGAGGGAGGUGAAGUGUGACUAUGAACACUCAAGACUUGGCUACACAAAGAGAAAUAAUAAGUACUGUCCAAGGCAGCGAUACAAGUGGCUUGAAGGAUCCGUGGAUGGUUGCUUUCCCUCACAAUGUAAAAAUUGAGCUAACUUGUGGUAUGGAAAGUUUUCAAGAUAAGAUGACAAUUCACUGAUUUUUGUAUGAAGGCUGAAUAUAUUUAAUACUGUGUUCUUGAGAAUACUUCAUGUAUGUCUGUCCUCAAUCAGCAGAGGCGUGCUUUAAAGAAUUGGCCCAUGACCAUGGAAAGAAGACUGCUGGGAUGGCACUAGUUGGAGUCAAUCCAGAGCACUAUCAGUCUACAGAACAGUGCUCUUAACAGUGACUGAAACAGUCAACAGAACUGAAAUAGUAUGUGGAUGUUUUUUCCUACAGUGAGCUUUCUUCUUAUAAGCAACUUACCUCUUCAGGAUUUUCUGGUUUGGGCUUUUCCUUUUAGUGAAAGGAAGAGAAGGGGAGUGAAGGAGAUAAAUAGGAAGGGAAGUUAAAUCUGAAAGAGAACUUUGAUGCUUCUUAUUGAUACUUGCACUUCAGAAGGAAAUGGCCAUCACCACAAGUUAACAAAAUCAAACAUUCAGCAGACCAAAUAAAUGCCAAGAGGAACUCUGGAACUCCUCCUUGUCACAGCCACAUCACAAAACUGCCCCACAUAUCUCAAUGUCCAGCAAAAUUAGUGUACCCCACAGCAGAAUCAUCAGAUUUUGUUGAUCCUACAUGUGCUGACCCAGUGUGAUGAUGUACCUCACCCAGUGCACUCUAAUUCCUUGCUGCUUCACAACAGUUGAUCUUACCUGUUUUAAUACUGUUUCCGCACCACAGG